UACGUAGGGUGCAAGCGUUAAUCGGAAUUACUGGGCGUAAAGCGUGCGCAGGCGGUUAUGUAAGACAGAUGUGAAAUGCCCGGGCUUAACCUGGGAACUGCAUUUGUGACUGCAUGGCUAGAGUGUGUCAGAGGGGGGUAGAAUUCCACGUGUAGCAGUGAAAUGCGUAGAUAUGUGGAGGAGUACCGAUGGCGAAGGCAGCCCCCUGGGAUAACACUGACGCUCAUGCACGAAAGCGUGGGGAGCAAACAGG
rnacentral:rRNA from 1 species